UCCCACCGUGGACUCGUCCAGUUCUUUCGUUUGAUGACCGUUAUGUAGACCCAGUCACCUUGCUCUUCCUGUGAGGGAAGAAAAUCAGACGGCAGUAAAUUUGCAUUUAACACCUCUUUCUGUUUCAGGAUCCUGAUUAUAUAAUCUGCUAAUGUCUGUUCUUCAUCAGCUUUUUGUAAGUUUGGAGCAAACAGAGGCAAUCUGUAAGCUCUCCCAUGAAUUAUUUCAAAAGCAUCUGCAUGCUUUGCUGGAACUAUUUCAACCCAUUUAGAAAAAGCAUCAAUCAUCAUCUAACAGUAUUUGUUAACUCAAAAGUUCAUAACAAAAAAUUUUUUAUGUAAGAAUUUAGUAGUUAUAUAGUAUUACCUCACCAUUUUCCCUUUUCCCCCCUUUUUACACAUGGCAUUGCCCAUGUGUCACAAUCAACUAAGCUUUUAUAAAGUCUUUGGGAGGAUUAGUAGUUAAUGCAGGUGAACUCAUAGGUUUAUAGAAGAUAUUUUAGCAGACACGUAUUUUAAUUGCAGGGUUAUAUUUUGGUUUUUCUUUGUUAAACUCAGCAACUUUCAACAUUUCUAUCUAAUUUCUCUAGAAUAAAAAUGUCCAUCUUUAAUUUAACCAAAUCUCAAAUCCUCUGAUCCAAGAUUUUUUCUUUUUGAAUUUAUUGACUAUAAAUCAAAUCUAGAUUAAAAUGUUUUAGACUGAAAUCUAGUGUUGCCUUUAUUCACAAUCAUCAAUUUUUAGUAGCCAUUUAUAUCUAUCAGGUUGCUUAAAAUCUCAGACUUUCACUUAACCUUGCAUUUCAGACAGGUUAACAACAUAAGUUUUUUUAUA